GACGAACGCUGGCGGCGUGCUUAACACAUGCAAGUCGAACGGAAAGGCCCUGCUUUUGUGGGGUGCUCGAGUUGCGAACGGGUGAGUAACACGUGAGUAACCUGCCCUUGACUUUGGGAUAACUUCAGGAAACUGGGGCUAAUACCGGAUAGGAGCUCCUGCUGCAUGGUGGGGGUUGGAAAGUUUCGGCGGUUGGGGAUGGACUCGCGGCUUAUCAGCUUGUUGGUGGGGUAGUGGCUUACCAAGGCUUUGACGGGUAGCCGGCCUGAGAGGGUGACCGGCCACAUUGGGACUGAGAUACGGCACAGACUCCUACGGGAGGCAGCAGUGGGGUAUAUUGCACAAUGGGCGGAAGCCUGAUGCAGCCACGCCGUGUGCGGGAUGACGGCAUUCGGGUUGUAAACCGCUUUCGCCUGUGACGAAGCGUGAGUGACGGUAAUGGGUAAAGAAGCACCGGCUAACUACGUG
rnacentral:rRNA from 1 species